rnacentral:rRNA from 1 species
AGCGAACGCUGGCGGCAGGCCUAACACAUGCAAGUCGAACGAAGUCUUCGGACUUAGUGGCGCACGGGUGAGUAACACGUGGGAAUAUACCUUUCGGUGGGGAAUAACAUCGGGAAACUGAUGCUAAUACCGCAUACGCCCUUCGGGGGAAAGAUGUAUCGCCGAGAGAUUAGCCCGCGUCCGAUUAGGUAGUUGGUGAGGAAAUGGCUCACCAAGCCUGCGAUCGGUAGCUGGUCUGAGAGGAUGAUCAGCCACACUGGGACUGAGACACGGCCCAGACUCAUACGGGAGGCAGCAGUGGGGAAUAUUGGACAAUGGGCGCAAGCCUGAUCCAGCCAUGCCGCGUGAGUGAUGAAGGCCUUAGGGUUGUAAAGCUCUUUCGACGGGGACGAUGAUGACGGUACCCGUAGAAGAAGCCCCGGCUAACUUCGUGCCAGCCGCCGCCGUAAUAC